rnacentral:rRNA from 1 species
AGCUCCAGUAGCGUAUAUUAAAGUUGUUGCAGUUAAAAAGCUCGUAGUUGGAUUUCUGGCUUUGUAGAACUGACCCGCCACGUUAGUGUGUGAGUGUCGGCUUCUAUAUGCCAUCCUUCCACAGAACGUUUCUACUCUUGAUUGAGCCGGAUUCGCAAUGUGGAACUUUUACUUUGAAAAAAUUAGAGUGUUCAAAGCAGGCUUACGCUAUGAAUACAUUAGCAUGGAAUAAUAAUUUAGGACUUUGGUUCUAUUUUGUUGGUUUCUAGAACUGGAGUAAUGAUUGAUAGGGAUAGUUGGGGGUGCUAGUAUUCAGCGGCCAGAGGUGAAAUUCUUGGAUUCGCUGAAGACUAACUUAUGCGAAAGCAUUCACCAAGGAUGUCUUCUUUAAUCAAGAACG